GUCCCGGCAGCUCCCUGCCCCGCUCCCCAGCCAGGUCCCAGCUGCUCCCAGCUGCGGGCUGCUCCCCGCGAGAGGGAGGCACUUACCGAGCCGGGCCGGGCCGAGUCCAGGGCAGGGGGAGCAGGCAGUGGCGGCCGCCGGCGCCCGCGCCUGUGUGCGAGGGGAGGGGGGCAGCGCCGGGCUGCAGCCGCACACUGACUCACCCCGGGCGGAGCGGGCUCAGCCCAUAGCCCUGGCCCCGGGCUCAAUGAGGCUCUUUCUUUCUCGCCAAUCCGGGACGAGGGCAGCCGCCAAGCCCGAGGCUCUUCCCUCGCUGCCCGCCCGGGCUCCCUCCCACCCGCAGGGAGGCUGGGCCGGGGGAGGACGCCCUCCGGGGGGGGGACUUGAACUUGACCUGAGGAGAAGCGCCCCCCCUCAUGUAGAGCCUCGUGAGGCAGCACGUCCCCGCGCACUGCCCCGCCUCCAGGGCAAGGCACGUCCCCUGCACCCGAAAGCUUGGAAGAGAACCGGGGGGGUUGGGUCCCCCCCCCCGACUCUUGGAAGAAAAAGAUCUGGGAUUCAAAUCUUUAUGUACUUUAGUGAUUGGCUAAAUUCUACUAUCAAGUACACAAAAUUUGUUCCAGAGCAUAAAGGUGAGUACAAACAUUUAUAUAUUGCUCUCUGCCUGGCAGUGAUGUGUAUGACUGGGAGUGAAUGGCAUUUAAUAGCCAUAAUUCUGGCAUAUAUGUGUGGUGUUUUACCUAUACUCAUGUCUAUAUACACAUCUCUAUUUAUGUACUUUUGCUCUACCAUAUGUCUCAUCUACUUUAUUAAUCCAGCACAGGUUUCCAAGUCAUUUCUUUACUGGUUGUAUCAAAAAACAGAACAGGAUACUAACGUUUUAUAUAUCUAUAGAGAGACACACAGGGACAUAUAUAAUCUGAAUUUUCACAUCAAAUUUAUGACUAGUGAUCAAAACCGUAUGUAUAUCCUAGAAAUACUGUAUGCCAGAUAUAUAGUAUUCAUAUUACAGCAUUUUUAGGAUGCAUGUGUGUGUGUGUUUAUAUAUGCACAUGCAACAUACAAACCUCUUGUACAUGGUAAGGCAACCUUUUGCAGAUAGUGUUGCAGCACCUGGUGACAUGUCAUAUACCACACUGAUUUAAAAGGUAUAUCAUAAAGGUGAAUUUUCAGAAAUCAUACUACCUUUGUGGAGGCCUACCCCUCUCCUCAACUCAUAUAGCAUAUCUUGUACUUCACUAAGAAUCAUGCCAAAAUAAAUUGCAAUCUCCUUUAGUGUAAACA
rnacentral:lncRNA from 1 species